rnacentral:lncRNA from 1 species
CCCUUCCUCCAUCAUGAGUUUUCUGAGAGCGUCUCAUAUCUGAAACUCCUCCUUCUACUUCUCAUCUUUGGAAAAGCCCAAAUCAAGAAGAAGGAGGUACCUGAUCAACCAUCAAAGAAGGAUCAGUGCAGUACUAGCAUACUGUGCUGAUUUCCUGAAGCAAGACUUCUGAUCGAGAUUCGUGGGCUCGUGUGGAUGACUCCUAGAGGUCGGAUGCAUGUGC